rnacentral:tRNA from 1 species
GCCUGGGUGGCUCAGUCGGUUGAGCAUCCGACUUCAGCUCAGGUCAUGAUCUCACAGUUCGUGGGUUCAAGCCCCAUAUCAGGCU